rnacentral:rRNA from 1 species
GAUAAACGCUGGCGGCGCACAUAAGACAUGCAAGUCGAACGAACUUAACCUUUUGUUUACAAGAGGAGCGGUUAGUGGCGGACUGGUGAGUAACACGUAAGCAAUCUGCCUAUUAGAGGGGAAUAACAGUGAGAAAUCAUUGCUAAUACCGCAUAUGCCAUAGAAAUCGCAUGAUUUUAGUGGGAAAGGAGUAAUCCGCUAAUAGAUGAGCUUGCGACUGAUUAGUUAGUUGGUGGGGUAAAGGCCUACCAAGACCGCGAUCAGUAGCCGGACUGAGAGGUUGAACGGCCACAUUGGGACUGAGAUACGGCCCAGACUCCUACGGGAGGCAGCAGUCGGGAAUAUUGCGCAAUGGAGGAAACUCUGACGCAGUGACGCCGCGUAUAGGAAGAAGGUUUUCGGAUUGUAAACUAUUGUCUGUGGGGAAGAAACAAGACUGUACCCACAAAGAAAGCUCCGGCUAACUACGUGCCAGCCGCCGCCGUAAGAC